rnacentral:rRNA from 1 species
UACGGAGGGGGCGAGCGUUGUCCGAAGUUACUGGGCGUAAAGCGCGCGUAGGCGGGUUGCUAAGUCCGCUGUGAAAGCCCGAGGCUUAACCUCGGAGGGUCGGUGGAUACUGGCAGUCUUGAAGGUGGUAGAGGGAAGUGGAAUUACCGGUGUAGCGGUGAAAUGCGUAGAUAUCGGUAGGAACACCAGUGGCGAAGGCGGCUUCCUGGCCCACUCUUGACGCUGAGGCGCGAAAGCUGGGGGAGCGAACGGG